UUUGAGUCGCCUCGAUGGUGACAUUUACACUGAAAUAAAUAGAAAACUUUGGAAUGACCUUAACCAGUCCCUUACACUGGAGAAGAUUAACUCCGUGGGAUGUGGUAUAAGAGUUUUCGACUCUUAUUAUAUUCUUGACAAAAAAGAAAUUAAUGAUUUGACGGCUUAUUCAACUUUUUCCUUCAAACCAAAUCCAUAUCA